rnacentral:rRNA from 1 species
CCAAUAGCGUAUAUUAAAGUUGUUGCAGUUAAAAAGCUCGUAGUUGAAUUUCGGGAUCGACGGGUCGGUCGCGCCUCUGGUGUGUACUGGCCCUGUCGGUUUCUCCCUUCUGACGAACCACAAUGUCAUUAAUUUGGUGUCGUGGGAAAUCAGGACUGUUACUUUGAAAAAAUUAGAGUGUUUAAAGCAGGCAUUCGCUUGAAUACAUUAGCAUGGAAUAAUGAAAUAGGACGUUUGAUCUUAUUUUGUUGGUUUCUAAGAUCGACGUAAUGAUUAAUAGGGAUAGUUGGGGGCAUUAGUAUUCAAUUGUCAGAGGUGAAAUUCUUGGAUUUAUUGAAGACUAACUACUGCGAAAGCAUUUGCCAAGGAUGUUUUCAUUAAUCAAGAACGAAAGUUAGGGGAUCGAAGACGAUCAGAUACCGUCGUAGUCUUAACCAUAAACUAUGCCGACUAGGGAUCGGAUGAUGUUAAUUUUUUAAUGACUCAUUCGGCGCCUUACG